UAGGGAAUCUUUGGCAAUGGACGAAAGUCUGACCGAGCAACGCCGCGUGAGUGAAGAAGGUUUUCGGAUCGUAAAACUCUGUUGUUAGAGAAGAACAAGGACGUUAGUAACUGAACGUCCCCUGACGGUAUCUAACCAGAAAGCCACGGCUAACUACGUGCCAGCAGCCGCGGUAAUACGUAGGUGGCAAGCGUUGUCCGAAUUUAUUGGGCGUAAAGCGAGCGCAGGCGGUUUCUUAAGUCUGAUGUGAAAGCCCCCGGCUCAACCGGGGAGGGUCAUUGGAAACUGGGAGACUGGGGGGCAGAGGAGGAGAGUGGAAUUCCAUGUGUAGCGGUGAAAGGCGUAGGUAUAUGGAGGAACACCGGUGGCGAAGGCGGCUCUCUGGUCUGAAACUGACGCUGAGGCUCAAAAGCGUGGGGAGCAAACAGG
rnacentral:rRNA from 1 species